rnacentral:rRNA from 1 species
GAUGAACGCUGGCGGCGUGCCUAAUACAUGCAAGUCGAGCGAACGGACGAGAAGCUUGCUUCUCUGAUGUUAGCGGCGGACGGGUGAGUAACACGUGGAUAACCUACCUAUAAGACUGGGAUAACUUCGGGAAACCGGAGCUAAUACCGGAUAAUAUUUUGAACCGCAUGGUUCAAAAGUGAAAGACGGUCUUGCUGUCACUUAUAGAUGGAUCCGCGCUGCAUUAGCUAGUUGGUAAGGUAACGGCUUACCAAGGCAACGAUGCAUAGCCGACCUGAGAGGGUGAUCGGCCACACUGGAACUGAGACACGGUCCAGACUCCUACGGGAGGCAGCAGUAGGGAAUCUUCCGCAAUGGGCGAAAGCCUGACGGAGCAACGCCGCGUGAGUGAUGAAGGUCUUCGGAUCGUAAAACUCUGUUAUUAGGGAAGAACAUAUGUGUAAGUAACUGUGCACAUCUUGACGGUACCUAAUCAGAAAGCCACGGCUAACUACGUGCCAGCAGCCGCGGUAAUACGUAGGUGGCAAGCGUUAUCCGGAAUUAUUGGGCGUAAAGCGCGCGUAGGCGGUUUUUUUAAGUCUGAUGUGAAAGCCCACGGCUCAACCGUGGAGGGUCAUUGGAAACUGGAAAACUUGAGUGCAGAAGAGGAAAGUGGAAUUCCAUGUGUAGCGGUGGAAUGCGCAGAGAUAUGGAGGAACACCAGUGGCGAAGGCGACUUUCUGGUCUGUAACUGACGCUGAUGUGCGAAAGCGUGGGGAUCAAACAGGAUUAGAUACCCUGGUAGUCCACGCCGUAAACGAUGAGUGCUAAGUGUUAGGGGGUUUCCGCCCCUUAGUGCUGCAGCUAACGCAUUAAGCACUCCGCCUGGGGAGUACGACCGCAAGGUUGAAACUCAAAGGAAUUGACGGGGACCCGCACAAGCGGUGGAGCAUGUGGUUUAAUUCGAAGCAACGCGAAGAACCUUACCAAAUCUUGACAUCCUUUGACAACUCUAGAGAUAGAGCUUUCCCCUUCGGGGGACAAAGUGACAGGUGGUGCAUGGUUGUCGUCAGCUCGUGUCGUGAGAUGUUGGGUUAAGUCCCGCAACGAGCGCAACCCUUAAGCUUAGUUGCCAUCAUUAAGUUGGGCACUCUAAGUUGACUGCCGGUGACAAACCGGAGGAAGGUGGGGAUGACGUCAAAUCAUCAUGCCCCUUAUGAUUUGGGCUACACACGUGCUACAAUGGACAAUACAAAGGGCAGCGAAACCGCGAGGUCAAGCAAAUCCCAUAAAGUUGUUCUCAGUUCGGAUUGUAGUCUGCAACUCGACUACAUGAAGCUGGAAUCGCUAGUAAUCGUAGAUCAGCAUGCUACGGUGAAUACGUUCCCGGGUCU